rnacentral:lncRNA from 1 species
GCGAGGCCUGGGCCACGUAAGGCCCUCGGCCACCUGACUGCUUGCUUUCUUGGGACCUCUGUGGGUUGGGGUUGGGGAGCGGGUCUUUUAUUGCCCUGAUGACUUGAUGUUUUUCCCAGCCAACAGUAAGGGGUUAUCGACCUGUAAUUUCUCUGUGAGAAAGUCUGGAGGGGGCCAGGCCUGGUAUCUACCCCCUCCACCUCGGAGCUGGGUCGGUACCGUCCGCCGCCAUCUUGCUUCUCCACGGUGCCGCAGUGGCCCACUCUUUGGCCACUGGCAGGCAUUGGGAAGGGAAGGGGAGGGAGCUAGCGGGGCCUGCUGGCGGAGAGGAGGUGGUGAGAGGAGGAGCUCGAGUGAGAGCGGUCCUUGUUCUGCUCAUGGACAUAAGCUCACCUUUUUCCAUAAUUCACUGAUUGACCAGCUGGGGAGUUCAGCUGAGCCAUAUCUCCCCAGACUUGAGAGGGCCUGAGUCACAGGGCACUGUGUGGCGGCCACCCCCAGAUCUCAGCUUGGAGCCAGCAGAGCCAGCUUUGCUCGUUUUUUAAAUUUCUCUUUGGACCCACUACUGUGGGUGUGAUUGCUGAUUUUUGUUUUUGUUGGCCCGGGAGCUCCCCCUGGAGGUCAGAGGAGCAAAAUGUGCCCAAGGACCAGAGCUCCUUGCUACCCACUGCUUGUGUCUGCAGGCAGAGGGGGAAAUCUGGCCUUGUGUAGAUCAGGCCCCCUGUCUUUUCUCUCCCAGGGUACCAGUGGUCUGUAAGGACCUCCCCUCUCUUCCGUUUUCCCCCACCUGUUUUUCAGUCUUAAAAUCAUUGUACAUAAUAUUCAUAUUAUAUAAAUAUAUAUCUAUGGCGAGAGAGGAGAUUGUUAGUGAUUGUGUGCAAUUUUAUUUAUCAGAACUUGGUGGCCUUUAUUGUGAGUUUUUUCCUUUUUUGUUGUUGUUGUUGUGGAGGAACCUCCUGCUCUUUGCCUGUGAAAGUCUGGCUGAAAGUCUUCCAUUCCCAGAAUCUCUUAUUAGCCAAAUAGCCCCUUGUCGGGUACGUGGAGGGACGAGGUUUCGGAGGAGAGAUCACCCCUUCUCCUCCUCCUCACUGACACUUGUUCUCAAGGUUACAGGGUUCAAACAUAUCACAUUAUUAUUGUCAUUAUUGUUGUCUUAGUUUUAGUUUAACCAAAGGUUAUCAGAGCCAGUUGGGCUUGGACCUCAGCUGCUGAAAAGAUUUUCCGUUUCUGGGAGGCUGGGAAACUGGCUGCCUCUCAGGCCUCCUCUGCCCAGGUUGAGGGAGGCAUUGAAUUCCAUGGACAGGUAGGCAGAGUGGAGGCCUGCCCCGGGUUUUUCCUCAAGGUGGUGGGAGGGUGACAGACCUAUCUUUAGAGUUAAGACAGUUAGGCAACAAUGUAAGCAUUGGGGGGUAACUGAGGUUACCAUGGUGAUUGCUGUCCAAUGGUAUUAUUUUUGCUUUCCCCCUUGGAUACAUAGAUAUUUGUCUUUGGGGACUAGCGUACUCUGAAUUUAUCUGGGGAGUAUGGAAAUGGCAGGAGCCAGAGUCAGAUGCUGGCCAGAAAGGUCCAUCUUGCUGGUUUUCAAUAGCUGUUCUCGCUGGGGAGCAAGGACUUGGGGCUGGUGGAUGGGGGGACAACAAGAGUGUUAGUGACCUGCCUUCAGGGUGCGAUCCUGGUUUUGGCCUGGCUGCCUCCCUCCCCACCAAGUUCUUUUUUGAGUUAGUUGCCAGUGGGCCCCGCUUGUACCCUUGUCAUGGGCCCACAGCUUGCCGAGAAAGACCCCAACGCUCACUGGGGCAGCACCAGGUCCAGUUGGGAUGAACUGGUCCAUCCUUUGUAAAGAUGUAAAUACGUAAUUUUGGUUUUCUAUUUCUCAGCCCAGUGUCAUAUUGACAUUGGUAUUUUAGAAUUGGUCUCAGAUGGGCUCUCCUGUGCUGCCCUCUCUCACUCUCCUAUUUUGGGGGGUUUUAUAAAAAGAGAGGAUUGGGGAGGGACAGGGAGAGUAGCUUCCUUUGGGCUCCCUGGUUGUGGAGCACACACACACACACACACACACACACACACACUUCUCUGAGACUCUGAACAGGGAAAAAAAUGAUUGGCAAGUAAACACAUUUUGUUUUCUUGUGGCAGUAUGUCUAGAGGUGUCUGACGGGCCUGUCCAUCAUGGAUUUAGCUCUGUGGAUGUAGCUCAUAUGACCUGUGGAGAAUCAGACCACUUUGGCUUGGGAUGGGGGAGAGGGUGUGGGGCAGGGGAUCAUAUAAGGUGUAACUUAAGCUAAAUGUAAUCUAUUUAUAAAGGAAGAGACUCAUCUAUUUUUAUGAAAGUUUUUUUUUAAAUCUAGGGUAGGCAGUUAUGGUAGCCCAGCAUUUUUCUGUGGACAAGAUGCAUGUUGCUGCUGGAUUUAAUAUAAUCAGUACCCCUCACCUGUCUCCGCAUCAUCACCACCUACUCAUCCACACCCACGAGCGGCUUCAGCAGAGUGUAGGUCACCCCUCACCUCAUUUCCUUGUCCCUUGAUCCCCCAGCUCCUUGGUCCUUGCAAGUCCAGGGGGCUGGGCACUUGUGGGAGUGGGUGGGCAGUGGGGAAUUCAGAACGGAGGUGGGUGGUGGGAGGGAAGGGGGGCACUAGGUAGGGGACAAGCUCUGCUUCAGAAGGUGGGCUCCGAUUAGUUGCUCAAACUCUGGUCUGCCAAGAUCCAUUGCCAAGUCAGCUGUAUUUGGAGAGAGCUGAGAAGCAGUAGGGUGUGGGUGGCAAUGGGCUGUUGGUUCACGGAGCCCACAGCUUCCUUGGGGCCCGGGCCUCAGUGAGUCCAAGGUUGUCAGGCAGCCUGAGCAGGAGUGCAAAUGCCAUGAGAUGCCUACAGCCCAGCCCUGGCUGUGCCAACCCCAGGCCAAGGCCUGGGAUGUCGUCCUUGCUGUGCUCUUCCAGGGACCUGGAUGAGGAACUAGGGUGCUGGGAGCUUCCUGGGUCCUCCACCUUGAGACACUAAGCUCUGGUUCUAGAGGGCACUCUCCUAGAGUGGGGAGUCUGGAAGCAGCCAGGUGGGUGUCGGUAAAGGCAGAUUCUCUCUGGAAGGGAAUUUUCCACGAGUGGAAGAUUUCCAGGCUCAGGGUGGGCUGCUUGUUAGUCUCAGGCUAAAUCCCUCACCAUUCCCUCUGCCAAGCCUUCAAGGAGAUGAGGCAAAGGCAAACCCACCCACAGACCCCUUCGUGGACAUUUUAGCAUCUACCUGAUUUUUAGCCCCAUCCAGGGAGACUUUCUAUCCUGAGGUCCCAUCCUACCCCACUGUUGCUGUUUGUCUGCCAGCUGGGUCUAGCAUCAAGGGGAAGGGGGGGUUUAUAUUCAUUGAAAGACUACUGAUCCUACCGGAAACCAACCUGUUUACUGUACUGUUGUAAAUAUCAUGCCCUUUAUAUCCUGUAUAUUGGCUUCUUUUAAAUAAAGUGAAAUGUCUUAG